rnacentral:rRNA from 1 species
ACGAACGCUGGCGGCGUGCUUAACACAUGCCAGUCGAACGGAAAGGCCCCUUUGGGGGUACUCGAGUGGCGAACGGGUGAGUAACACGUGAGUAACCUGCCCUUGACUUCGGGAUAACUUCAGGAAACUGGGGCUAAUACCGGAUAGGAAUCCUUGCUGCAUGGUGGGGGUUGGAAAGCUUCGGCGGUUUUGGAUGGACUCGCGGCUUAUCAGCUUGUUGGUGGGGUAGUGGCUUACCAAGGCUUUGACGGGUAGCCGGCCUGAGAGGGCGACCGGCCACAGUGGGACUGAGAUACGGCCCAGACUCCUACGGGAGGCAGCAGUGGGGAAUAUUGCACAAUGGGCGGAAGCCUGAUGCAGCAACGCCGCGUGCGGGAUGACGGCCUUCGGGUUGUAAACCGCUUUCAGCAGGGGCGAAGCUUGUGGUGACGGUACCUGCAGAAGAAGCACCGGCUAACUACGUG